UUCAAUGCUAGUGACAAUCUUGAAAGGGCUUGGAAUCGUGUUAAGGAAACUAUUGAUUGGUCUAAUCCUUGGGUUGCAAGUUUGGAAGGUAAAAUCAAGAAAAGGGUGAAGAGCAAGUUAAAUGAACGGUGGAAGCACUGGAAGUCUCAGUUGCG